GUUCAAAUGUGAGGGCUUUGUGAUAUCAAUAAUGAGGCCAAGACAAAGAAUUUCAUUUUGGAAUCAUGGCCAAAAAGUUCUACCUUGGUUAUAUCAGACCAUUAAAAAAAAUUCCUAAACAUAUUUGAUGAAUGGUCUGAAGAGAAGCAAAGUUGAAGUUUGGGGCCAUAAUUCCAAAAAGUAGGUUUGGCAUUUAAUUUAUAUCACAGAAAAAAAGCGUUUGACCAGGGAGGUGCAGACAUUUUAUAUCCACUGGAAGUGGCUCCUUCUUAAUAUGAAUUUUGAUUUCCAUAUUUUCAGACGUGAACAUUUAUUAACUUCAUAGGCUGCCAUUAUUUUAUUUGUAAAAGAAAAAAAAAUAUUGGCAUCAAAAUUUGAAUAUUCCUCCAUCACAAAUUGAUGACAGAAAAUAUGUCAAUUAUGGGGAUGCAUUUGUCAGAAUAAAAAAUGUAAUAAUAUAGCAUUAAAGAUAAUUGGUAUACUCUCUUUUUUUGUUUUUUCACACAAUUAAAUUAUGAUGCCAAUCUUAAAAGGUGUUUAUUAAUGGGCGGCCUUUAUUGCUACAAAAUAUAUCUAAUAUUGGCAAUUUAUGUUCUCACAGCGUCUGAUUAUCUGAGACACUUUUGUGCGAAUGAUAUAUUUGAAACAAUAUUUCCAGCAGCCGCUUAAAUUGGCGCGCCUACGCAACGGAAUGCGAUCCAUGUGGCUUUUGGCAAGACGACAAUGCUCACUUUUGAUGGACGCGCACAGAGCUGCCGCCUCGGGUCAGCUCAGCACCUCGUGCAGUUGUACCUCAUACAGUGUGUGUUACGAACCACAAGGAAGCAGAACUAAUGAACUCAACGAGGCCAGUCAAAAAAAAACGUUGUGGAAAACGGCAACGUGAUGCCCCCCCCCCCCCCCCGAAGGUGUCACACGGACCCGGUCUUUAAAACAAUGUGAUCAGCCCAAUCGGCGCACGUCACGGCUGGAUGAGCGUGAACGCGCACGUGCACGCCCAGUCUCGACGAGGACGUAAAACCGAUUAAAACAUCCCCACCUUUGGGCUUCAAUCAGUCAGUCCAAAACGUCCAUCCCGAGAACUUGACCGGACAAAGAAGUAAAUAUUAACCCACAAGACCGCUGUAGCGAAGUUGGCGUCAAGACUGCUGCAGAAACGAACCUGCGCCAUGUCUCUGCUCACCCACCUGCUGGCAUGCCUGUUCGGCAUGGGUUCCUGGGUGUCUAUCAACGGUCUGUGGGUAGAACUUCCCCUGAUCGUCCCCCGCAUUCCGGAGGGCUGGUACCUCCCGUCGUACCUCUCGGUUCUCAUCCAGAUGGCCAACGUAGGCCCGCUCUUCGUCACCCUGAUGCACCGUUUCCGACCGGGAGCCCUCAGCGAGACGGCGGUGGUUUACGUCAUCAUCGCCCUGGGUACGGUGGCCAGUUUCCUGUUGGGUUUCUUCUGGAAGGAGACUGUUGUCGUGGCGGGGGCGCCCCGCAGCGGGGCGUUGCUCGUCCUCACCUUCUUCCUUGCGGUCGUCGACUGCACCUCCUCGGUUACCUUCCUUCCCUUCAUGAUGCGCCUCAAGCCCCGGUACCUCACCACCUACUAUAUCGGCGAAGGCGUGAGCGGCCUCCUGCCCGCUGUGGUGGCGCUCGUCCAGGGCGUCGGCGCGGUUCAUUGCAACAACGGCACUACGAACCAAAACACCACCGACGGCUUUCCGACAUUUGAGGCUCAACACCAGCCUCCCAACUUCUCAGUUGAGGUGUUCUUCUUCUUCCUGAGCGCCAUGAUGCUGGUGUGCCUGCUGGCGUUCCUGCUGCUCAACCGUCACCCCGCCGUUGCCAGGGAGAAGACAAAAUGCCAGUACACCAACGGGGUCAAAGAGAAAAAUUGGGUGGAGAAGAAGCCCAUUGUGGAGCCAUCCAGACCCUCCAGACAGAAGAGCAGUUUUGGCCUUGGGACUUACAGCUGGAUGCAGUUGUUUUACAUCUUCGUGAUCCUGGCGUGGAGCAACGCGCUGACCAACGUGGCGCUACCGUCGGUGCAGUCGUACGCGUGCAUGCCGUACGGCAACAACGCUUACCACCUGUCUGCCGCCACGGCGGCUGUGUCCAACCCUCUGGCCUGCUUCGUCGCCAUGUUCUUCCCGAGAAGAUCCUUGUGGCUGAUGGGGGCGCUCACGUUUUUGGGCAGCGGCGUGGGAGCUUUCAUAAUGAGCAUGGCCGCCCUGAGUCCGUGUCCGCUGAUGGUGAACGACGUCUGGGGCGGCGUCGUCAUGGUGCUGGCGUGGAUCGUCUUCAUCCUCACCCUGUCCUACGUCAAGGUGAUCAUCGGCGUGAUCCUGCGCGACGAGGGUCACAGCGCCCUUGUGUGGUGCGGGGCGGUGGUGCAGCUGGGGUCCCUGCUGGGCGCCGUCACCAUGUUCCCGCUGGUCAGCGUGUACAGCCUUUUUGCGUCAGGCGACCCCUGCAACACCCGAUGUCCAUGAAGGAGCCAACAGCCGCAUAUGACAGGGAGUGCGCGACGGUGCGUGUAGAGGUAAAGCGCGGGGUGCACCACGCCGGCCACAGAGAGCAGGCCGAUGCACAGCGGCGUCACCGAGCACACGAAGAGGCCCGGCAUCCGGUCGAUGUGCAUCAUGACGGCCACGGGGAUGUAGCAGAGCAGCGCCACGCCGCCGGUGGUGGCCGCGGUGAAGAAGGCGCGCCUCUUGGCCCCGCAAGGCGCCGCGCCGCCCGGGACGGCCCUCAGCAGGGUGUUGGCCACCGCGCUGCUGCACCGGUACAACAGCACUAUCAUGAACAGCAUCAAGAAGAAGGGCACCUUCCUUUGGACGGGCCGGAUCCGCGAGGACCAGCCAUUGAGACUGCCCGCAAGGGCGGCGGGCACGGAGACGAGCCACACGCCGGCGGCGCCCAGCUCCCGGAAGCGGUAGCGCUCCGGGCGGGGAUAGGCGGUGGGGCGCACCACGGCAACGUAGCGCUCCAGGCAAACGAGGCACAGGCUCAUGGGCCCGCCGGUCUGCAUGUAGACCAGCAGGAAUUUCAGCAGGGGCUUCUGUAACCCCGGCCAGCUCAGCAUGACGCCCAGGUGGGUGGCGGACAGGGCGUAGUGACAGGUGUGGAAGAGCGCCAGGUUGAUGUUGAGAACGUCCAGGCGGGCGCACCGCGACGUGAAGCCGUGCCACAGCAGACACGCCGCCAACGGCGGUCCCACCAGCACGGUCCCGAUGUCGUUCACGUACAGGAAGGGCCAGAUGGGCGGGGUUCAGGUCGCACGUGGUGUUGGUGGUCCGCAUCGCACCGCCCACUGUUUGGACCCGCAGGUACCCCGCCGUACCCCGUGACGAGAUCGCUGUCAGAAAUUCAUGCAAGGUAAGAGAGGACCGCAUAUGCCAUCAGGCUUUUUCUGGAUGUUAGCACACCACGUGUGACGAGUGAAAUAUGUCAAAUAGUUUAUGAUCAAAUGAUGCAGAUUUUUCUUUGAUGAAUUGAAUUACAGUUAAUUGUUAAAGGAGUGGAGCAGCUCAGAGAGGUCAGGUUGAGCAAGAUCGAGAUUUAAAAUCAAUUGCAAGAAUCUUAAUCUUGGUGAAGGGAGGCCAGAAAGGGUUAGGCUUUGCUCCCUCCUACGUGCUCCAGUUGGGAUGUGAGCAGCAGCACUUUUGAGCCAUCCGGAGACGUUUGAGGUUGGGCUGGCUGACUCCAAAAGUGCUUCAAGGUCUUGCUUUCAAUACAAUGAAACAAAGCCCUCAUAGUGCAUCCACAUUGACAAGCCAAGCCGCACACUCCCGAAAUGUGUUUGUUUGUGUUGUGGUUUUCUUUCACCAACAACAAUUACAAUGUCAGAGCCCAUCAUACAUAAUGAAUCAUAUUAUACAUAAUCCAACUUUCAUGCUUACAUCCUUGUACUUUUUGUCCGACGGUGCUCUUCUUGCGUUUUAUGGACUUUUCCGGUUCUCAUAAAAUUGUGUCUCUUGUCGUCGUCUUCUUUGGUGUUACAAAGAAUUCUUUCGGUUGCUCCGUUUUAUGCUCUCGUCUCGCAAUUGCGUUUUCACACGCUGCCGGCAGCACAUGGACAACAUUUCAUGCAUUCAAUUCCCCAAGUAAAGAAUCUUACAUGUUUUUUUUUCGGUAUCUCCUUUCCCGUUGUAACUUUUUGAACAAGCAAAUUCUCACCAGGUGCUGAUGGAUGCUCGCUGCACAACUGUCCUCUUGGUGUCGCUGUUGUCACGCAUCUGCAUGAGUUCAGUUGUCUUCCAGCUGACCCUCUAUAAAAACAUUUAGCUGA